UACGGGGGGGGCAAGCGUUGUUCGGAAUUACUGGGCGUAAAGGGUUUGUAGGUGGCUCGCUAAGUCACACGUGAAAUCCCUCAGCUUAACUCCGAAACUGCAUUUGAUACUGGCGUGCUUGAGGACUGGAGAGGAGACUGGAAUUCAUGGUGCAGCAGUGAAAUGCGUAGAGAUCAUGAGGAAGACCAGUGGCGAAGGCGGGGUCUCUGGACAGUUCCUGACACUGAGGCACGAAGGCCAGGGGAGCAAACGGG
rnacentral:rRNA from 1 species